rnacentral:tRNA from 1 species
AGUGGGUUAGUAUAUUAAUACCGCUGACUUAGGAUCAGCAAAUAAGCAACCACUUACCCACCA